CCUUAAACCAUACAAGGAAAUUUCCCAAAUUUCUCAACAGAAAGAUUGAUAGAACAUGUGUGUGUAUACAUUUUAAUAUUUCUCUUAACAUUUUCCAUUCGUUUUUUAGUACGACUUUAUGAUUGCAAUAUUAAUCAUACCUAUUUUGUGCAAUAUUAAAUAGUUAUUGAAUAUGUCCAGUGUUAAUUCCAAUAUUAAUUUACU